UACGUAGGGUCCGAGCGUUGUCCGGAAUUACUGGGCGUAAAGAGCUCGUAGGUGGUUUGUCGCGUUGUUCGUGAAAACUCACAGCUCAACUGUGGGCGUGCGGGCGAUACGGGCAGACUGGAGUACUGCAGGGGAGACUGGACUUCCUGGUGUAGCGGUGGAAUGCGCAGAUAUCAGGAAGAACACCCGUGGCGAAGGCGGCUCUCUGGGACGGUACUGACGCUGAGACGCGAAAGCGUGGGGAGCGAACAGG
rnacentral:rRNA from 1 species